rnacentral:snRNA from 1 species
GUGCUCACUUGUGCAGCACAUAUACUAAAAUUGGAAUGAUACAGAGAAAAUUAGCAUGGCCCCAGUGCAAGGGUGACAGAUCGAUUUGUGAAGCAUUCCAUAUUUUU